AAGAUUUCGGGUUUACAAUAAGUGCUUCUAAAAAGCUGAUAGUAAACUCAGAUGUUUAAGAACAGUGAAGAAAUAAUGCUAAGAGAUUGGUUCGUAAAUGUUGAAUGAUUUCAGCAAAGUUUCUUAGCCUCUUUCUUCUUUCUUCAGCCUUGAUAUACUCCAAGACUUAUGAUGUAGCCGUUGCUAGGGUUUUGUCCGU
rnacentral:lncRNA from 1 species